rnacentral:rRNA from 1 species
UACGGGGGGGGCAAGCGGUUGUUCGGAAUUACUGGGCGUAAAGGGUUCGUAGGUGGCCAACUAAGUCAGACGUGAAAUCCCUCAGCUUAACUGGGGAACUGCGUCUGAGACUGGAUGGCUUGAGUGCAGGAGAGGAACGCGGAAUUCCAGGUGUAGCGGUGAAAUGCGUAGAUAUCUGGAGGAACACCGGUGGCGAAGGCGGCGUUCUGGACUGCUACUGACACUGAGGAACGAAAGCCAGGGGAGCAAACGGG